rnacentral:rRNA from 1 species
UACGGGGGGAGCAAGCGUUGUUCGGAUUUACUGGGCGUAAAGGGCGCGUAGGCGGCCAGCACAAGUCAGUUGUGAAAUCUCCGAGCUUAACUCGGAAAGGUCAACUGAUACUGUGCGGCUAGAGUGCGGAAGGGGCAACUGGAAUUCUUGGUGUAGCGGUGAAAUGCGUAGAUAUUGGGAAGAACACCUGAGGCGAAGGCGGGUUGCUGGGCCGACACUGACGCUGAGGCGCGAAAGCCAGGGGAGCGAACGGG